CCUCCGAAAGUACUGGGAUUACAGGCAUGAGCCACUGUGCCUGGCCUCUGCUGCUUAUUCUUUGUGUAGCAUUUGACAUGCUGUUUAAACUCCUGAGCCUCAGUGACACAGGUACAGCUUAUAAGUGUCUGCAACAUAGGAGGUGCUCACUAAAUGUUAGAGGAUUCUAACUCAGAGGACUGUUAGAUGAAUUAAAUAAGGUGAUACCUGCAGAACUCCUAGCUUAAUGGCCUACAUGGAAUGCCAUGAAGCGCACACACACACAAUAUUAUUUCAAAAGAUGGGUUCAACUACACUGGUCUAGUGUUACUUCCAUUUUUCCCAGUAGUGAGGGAACAGAUUGCUGAAAACCAAAGCAGAGGAGAGAAUGCAAAACGUGGAAGGGACUGAAUCAGCAAGGCCUUGCCCAGUGGGAACUGGGGAACUGGCUGAAGCUCAGUGUAGUUCUGACACUGCCACCCAAUGGCUGCGUGACUGCUGAGCAAUUGCCUGUUUAAACAGAAGAGUUGGAAGAGACCUGUAUCAUUUUGUGCUUCUAAAUUAUUUCAUCCUUGAAAUGAAUAAACACGAUAGAGAAAUUAUAUAAUUCAGUGUGUGAAGGAACACUUUGUUCUUAAUGCAAUUUUGUAAGUGUUUCUAGGGCUGAUUGGUAUUUGGAUGUCCGCCCCCUCAGCUGACAAACCACUAGCAAGAUGCCUUUUAAAAGCUUCAUUCAAAUAACUGGCUGCCAAUAGGCCCGGUCUGCUGUUGUUUCCCAGUUGUAGUCAAAUAUCUUCAUUCAUUCGAGUUGGAUGCUGAUGUGCUUUGAAAUCCUUAGAAGAAAGUCAAUCUUUUCAGCUAGGAUUUGGUCGGUACGAGAAAACCUUCCUCCUUGUGGAAGGGUUCAGCAACUCAGCAACUCCUUCUCCUUUGUCUCAUUGCCUAGUCCUUGCAAACCAUGGAAGUGGGAUGAAAUUCAGAAAAGGAAGUUUAGACAGGACACAAAAGAAAAAUUUACAGGUUAACAUGAGAGAGAGCACAGCACAGGAAAUACCUUUGCUGAUUAAGCUAAGAAGUGAACAGGCUGUGGAAUAAGAGAUUGUUUCCACAUCUGAUUUCUCCUUGAUAAGAUUGUGAUGGGAAAAAAAUGCAGCGAGAUAUUGGCUGCGCUGACUCUGGAAAUCUAUUUCAGCCCUACCUGCUGGAGUUUAUUUAAGGGGUCCUGUAACCAGAACUUGUCUGAAUCUCGGGGACUUUGCUCUGACUCCAAUUCUUCUAAUCUAUCAUUCUUUGUGUUUCCUGUUUUCUCAUAAUCCUACAUUAUUUUUUUCAUGCCAUUUAUGGAAUUUUGAAAGAGACUUUUAUUUUGUUGAGAGGAUGAAAGGAGUUUUCACUGGGGCUCUUUGUCUUUUGGUAAGCCAUAAACCAGUAGGGAAAAGAGUAGAAUCAAAAGGAAGAGACAAUAAGUUGAAGGGAACAAGAUGUAAUUUUUGGUCUUACUCUGUUUUGGGAUAGCAAUAGGAGGGCAGAUGAAUGGAUAUGGGCUGGGGUGUGGGAUUAGGAAGGAUGAGAGUCCGACAUGAACGCUUGUUUGUCUUGCUCCUCCACCAGAUGGCCACUUGUGUCCUUCACUAAUCAGAAACUUUUAUGUUUUAAUGGCACUUCACAACCUCCCCUGAGAAGAAAAGAAAGAGGCAGACCCACCAGAAAAAUGAAAAUGCCAAAGGCGAAAAGACAAGGGGUAAAAACAAACUCCACUCUGGAUUGAGUUACAGCAUCAAAUACCUUAUUGGUAAUACGGAAGUGCUGGGUAGAGGAGGGCGUGGUCCCUGGCCAGGGCUCCACCCCCAUGGACCUAGGUGGGGACAGGCAUUUCCUGUCCAACAGCUGCUGCAUUUCCCAAGACCACUCUGGCCUGCCACGCCCCCAUCCUGUGCCUAUAAAAAUCCCCAAGACCCUCGCAGGCAGACCCAAAGACAGCUGGACGUGGAGAAGAACACACUGACAGGCACUGGCCCAUCUGCAGGCCACAACGGCAGAAGCAGAACUAUGCAGAAUUUGGCUGGGACAGUUGGAGCAGAGCCCAGGCCGCUGAUCCCCUGAAUCCAGGGGAAAACCAUCUCCCUUCUGGCUCUCCCAUCUGCUGAAACCUACUUCCACUCAAUAAAACCUUGGACUCAUUCUCCGAGCCUAGGUUUGAUCUGAUUCCUUUCAUACACCAAGGCAAGAACCUGGGAUACAGAAAGCGCUCUGUCCUUGUGAGAAGGUAGAGGGUCUAAUUGAGCUGACUAAUGGAAGCCGACUACGGAUGGUUAUACUAAAAGAGCACUCGAACACACGCCCACUGGGGCUUCAAGAGCUGUAAACUUUCACCCCUAGACACUGCCAUGGGGUUGGAGCCCCGCAACCUGCCCGUCUGAUGCUUCCCUAGAGGUUUGAGCAGCGGGACACUGAAGAAGCGAGCCACACCCCCAUCGCAUGUCCUGCGAGGGGAAUAACGAAACUUUCCUGUUUCUAUGGGAUGGGAAGGGUUAAUUAAAGAAGGCCGCCGUCUUUAAUUAAAAUUAGAAAGGUAGUGAUGCCAAAAAAUCAAGGAAUGCAAGAUUCAGUAGAAAAGUGUGUCUCAUUCGUUGGCAUAAUUGUGCCAACUUUUAUUAUAGGAAACCAAAAGAUCCUAUCAGGGUAAUUAUCAGGUCAUCAGUUUUUUGUCACAUACAGCUUGUGUUGUGCCUUUAAGAACUUCCUGUAUUCUCAGCUUUAUUAUUCAGGACGGGGUCAGGUGUAGUACAGAUAUCUGGGGCAAUUAUUACAUGUUGUAAUCCUGGAUUCCAAGGGCUUUUCGGAACAGAUUUGUGAGAAAAGAGUGAAAAGGAAGCAAGCAGGAGCAUGUUUGUUUUUAAUAAAGAGACCCUGCCCUAACUUCCUGAACUAAAACCAGUCUAGACUUGUUUUUUCCAUUUUACACAAUGUCCGUAACAACAGAAUAAAUUUAUUAAAACCAAACAAACUGGGGGCUGAGUUUUGGCAAAGAAAAUCAGACAGAAAUAGAAUCAGCUGCUCUUGAGUUGGGGCGAGAGACUGAUUUACAAACCAGCAGUGCAUUAAGGCUGCAUUGGCCUUAACUGAACUGAAGUUAUUUUCAUUAUGAGGAGACAAUGGAGAGGCAACAUGUCUGGCCUGGUGCCUGGGACAUGAACUAGUUAGUCCAUCAAUUCUGACCUCUUUUUCCAUCAGUUUUCAAAACUCAAGAUGUUAGAGUUAGGAAGGAACCUUAAGGCAUUUUCUCCAUAACUUUGUGUGGAGAAAACUGAGUCUCAGAGAAGUUAGAUGUUUUCGCCUCCCCAUUCACAGCCAUAGAUUAAAGUAAUGUAUCACUAAAUUACCAGGCAGUACCUACAAAUGGGGAGAUUUACUUUUGGCUCCUGUGGGUUGGGAACAUAAAUGUGGCAAUAAUUCCAUUUGUGCACAGUUGAGCAUAGAUUCACAGUCAGCACUUUAUUAAUUGGUAGACUCUGUUUUGAGGUGAUCCAGCUUCCCCCGCUCCUUCUUAGCCAUUUUAGGCUGCCUUCAGUAGUGAUUCGGCAUUUAGGUGCAGGUAGGUGUGUAUGUAAGCAGCGUUUAAGGAGUGUCUGAGUCCAGGCCAAAGUCAAUGUGUAUUUUUACAUUUCAGAAUGCUUUCCAUUCCUCAUCUCGCUUAACCCUUACAAUAUACUUUUAAGGAGACGGAAAGUUAAUUUGAGCUGAAUGUGAUGGCAAGUGCCUGUAAUCCCAGCUACUCAGAAGGCUGAGGCAGGAGGAUUGCUUGAGCCCAGGAGUUCUAGGUUACAGCUAUGAUUAGAUAAAUUGUAACAGUACAUGAAUCCUGAAAUGUACAAUGGAAAGUUGUACAGUAAAUGAAUACUGAAAUGUAGUGAAGUUGUACAGUAAAUGAAUACUAAAUGCUAUGUUCAUUUUCACAAAAGGUGCUCCUGGUAAAUUUGCUUCAACAUGUUGGGUUAAUUCUGGAGAUGUACAACAUUUGGCACCAGAACAGUCACUUCAUUUCUAAGACUCAUCGUUAUUUAACUCUUCAUGCCUAAAGAGACAGAUUCUUUCACAGGCCCCUUCAUGAUGAAUCAUACUCCUUCCUUGACUCUUCCAGUGCACAAUCAUUUUCUAAUGGCAGAUUGCAAAAGACUAGAUGUUUCCACUAAACCAAAUAGUCCUUUGAAUGCCAAGCACCACAACUGGUGAAGACAAUGGCUGCUUGGAGAAGUGACUUUAUCCUUAGGAAAUUUCUCCAUUACUUUGAAAUUUCUUCCCGUUCAUACAACUGUGACCACUUUAUUCAGAUCUUAGAGGCUCAAUCUCUAUAGUAAUAAAAUAAAAUAAAACAUCUCAAA